rnacentral:rRNA from 3 species
CCCGACUUCUGCCUAUUAUGACCUGGGCUACACACGUGCUACAAUGGAUGGUACAACGAGUUGCGAACUCGCGAGAGUAAGCUAAUCUCUUAAAGCCAUUCUCAGUUCGGAUUGUAGGCUGCAACUCGCCUACAUGAAGUCGGAAUCGCUAGUAAUCGCGGAUCAGCAUGCCGCGGUGAAUACGUUCCCGGGCCUUGUACACACCGCCCGUCACACCAUGAGAGUUUGUAACACCCAAAGUCGGUGGGGUAACCUUUUAGGAACCAGCCGCCUAAGGUGGGACAGAUGAUUAGGGUGAAGUCGUAACAAGGUAGCCGUAGGAGAACCUGCGGUUGGAUCACCUCCUACAGUUCCA